rnacentral:lncRNA from 1 species
UAGUCUAUAGAAGGCAUGAAAGAUUCAAGAUAUAUAUACAUUAAGACAGUAGUCUAGUAUAUUUAAAACAAUAGUCCAAAAUAAAGUGCACUUCAUCAAUACUGCAUGAAAUUUAAAUAUAGUAACUGCAUAUGAAUGCUCACUGGGAUAAAAGACUCAUCCACUGGAUGUACAAUACUUUGGUUAGGUCAAUGCAUCCAAAAACAAUUAAAAAUAUCAAACAUAAGUAUAAUGCAGAGAGUCCAUG